UACGGGGGGAGCAAGCGUUGUUCGGAUUUACUGGGCGUAAAGGGCGCGUAGGCGGUCAGCACAAGUCAGUUGUGAAAUCUCCGGGCUUAACUCGGAAAGGUCAACUGAUACUGUGCGACUAGAGUGCAGAAGGGGCAACUGGAAUUCUCGGUGUAGAGGUGAAAUGCGUAGAUAUCGAGAGGAACACCUGCGGCGAAGGCGGGUUGCUGGGCUGACACUGACGCUGAUGCGCGAAAGCCAGGGGAGCGAACGGG
rnacentral:rRNA from 1 species